rnacentral:rRNA from 1 species
GAUGAACGCUGGCGGCGUGCCUAAUACAUGCAAGUCGAGCGAACGGACGAGAAGCUUGCUUCUCUGAUGUUAGCGGCGGACGGGUGAGUAACACGUGGAUAACCUACCUAUAAGACUGGGAUAACUUCGGGAAACCGGAGCUAAUACCGGAUAAUAUUUUGAACCGCAUGGUUCAAAAGUGAAAGACGGUCUUGCUGUCACUUAUAGAUGGAUCCGCGCUGCAUUAGCUAGUUGGUAAGGUAACGGCUUACCAAGGCAACGAUGCAUAGCCGACCUGAGAGGGCGAGCGGCGAAAAGGGAACUGGGAGAAGGUCAAGAGGAAGAAGGGAGGCAGGAGGAGGUAGUCUGGAGAUAUGGGAGAAAGACUGAAGGAAAAACGAAGCAUGAGGGAAGAAGGUAUGCGGAAAUAAAAAAUCAGUUAAUAGGGAAGAACAUAUAUAAAAGGAAAGCUGAAAAGGGUAAAGGUGCAUAAUAAGAAAGCAAAGGAUAUUAAAGUG